GUAAGUUCAUGAGUUCUCUUAUAAAAAGGUUUUUAUGAGUAUCGCAUCAACUUACAG
rnacentral:pre_miRNA from 1 species